rnacentral:rRNA from 1 species
GACGAACGCUGGCGGCGUGCUUAACACAUGCAAGUCGAGCGGUAAGGCCUUUCGGGGUACACGAGCGGCGAACGGGUGAGUAACACGUGGGUGACCUGCCUUUAGCUUCGGGAUAAGCCUGGGAAACCGGGUCUAAUACCGGAUAUGACCUCAUGUCGCAUGGUGUGGGGUGGAAAGUUCUUCGGCUAGAGAUGGGCCCGCGGCCUAUCAGCUUGUUGGUGGGGUGAUGGCCUACCAAGGCGACGACGGGUAGCCGGCCUGAGAGGGCGACCGGCCACACUGGGACUGAGACACGGCCCAGACUCCUACGGGAGGCAGCAGUGGGGAAUCUUGCGCAAUGGGCGAAAGCCUGACGCAGCGACG